UGAUCCUUCACAUUGUGUAAAUUGUAAUGUUACAAAGAUCUUAAUAGGAUGACUUUUUUUUCCAGAUUGCAAUCAUGAUGUGUACAAUGGAGUGUUUCCUGUUGAGAAAAUUCUAAGAUGGCGAAACACAAAGGGCCGAAAUGAAGUCAGAGUUAAGUGGAUGCCUUGCUCAUUAUGCGGCGCAAAAUGGAAAAACACAUGGGAGCCAGCUGAAAGUUUUACCUCUUACAAGGACAGCAGAAAUGAAGAUGCAAAAUGAAAAAUCUGAAACGCAAAUAAACAGAAUUAAAAUUUCAUUCUGAGUACAAACACUAUAGUUAAAUUUAAACAUUGUGUUGUAAUAUAUUUAAGGUUUCCAGUCACUCUAAUGUUAUCUGGAUCCAUAUAAAUGAAGCAUCUCUGUAAAGUUACUCAUUUCAAUUUCUAAUGAGCUGUAUGUGUUUGGAGACAUCAGCCAUUGUGUUCUGGGAGAUUUUAUCUAAACACCAUUACUGCGUGACUUAUCUCAACAUGCUGUGUCCUCUUAAAACAAAAAGAGUUCAAAAC
ensembl:lncRNA